GAGUUUGAUCCUGGCUCAGGACGAACGCUGGCGGCGUGCCUAACACAUGCAAGUCGAGCGAUGAAGCCCUUCGGGGUGGAUUAGCGGCGGACGGGUGAGUAACACGUGGGUAACCUGCCUUAUAGAGGGGGAUAGCCUUCCGAAAGGAAGAUUAAUACCGCAUAAUAUGUUUUUAUCGCAUGGUAGAAACAUCAAAGGAGUAAUCCGCUAUAAGAUGGACCCGCGGCGCAUUAGCUAGUUGGUGAGGUAACGGCCCACCAAGGCGACGAUGCGUAGCCGACCUGAGAGGGUGAUCGGCCACAUUGGAACUGAGACACGGUCCAGACUCCUACGGGAGGCAGCAGUGGGGAAUAUUGCGCAAUGGGGGAAACCCUGACGCAGCAACGCCGCGUGAAUGAAGAAGGCCUUAGGGUUGUAAAGUUCUGUUUUCUGGGACGAUAAUGACGGUACCAGAGGAGGAAGCCACG
rnacentral:rRNA from 1 species